UACAGAGGUCUCAAGCGUUGUUCGGAUUCAUUGGGCGUAAAGGGUGCGUAGGCGGCGCGGUAAGUCAGUGGUGAAAUCUCCGGGCUUAACCCGGAAACUGCCAUUGAUACUAUAGAUCUUGAAUAUCCUGGAGGUGAGCGGAAUAUGUCAUGUAGCGGUGAAAUGCUUAGAUAUGACAUAGAACACCAAUUGCGAAGGCAGCUCACUACGGGAUCAUUGACACUGAGGCACGAAAGCGUGGGGAGCAAACAGG
rnacentral:rRNA from 1 species